AAGAAUUUAAAGAGUGCACUUCAUUGUGGCUCGACAUUUUCUACCAUUCACCCUAGUGCACCGUAAUACCUUUUUUUAUUAGACUCUACAAAGUUAAUGAAUGUAACACUUUUUUUAUAAAGAAGUAAAACUUUUAACAACGGAUCUCUUGGCUCUCGCAAGCGAUGAAGAACGCAGCGAAAUGCGAUAAGUAAUGUGAAUUGCAGAAUUCAGUGAAUCAUCGAAUCUUUGAACGCACCUUGCGCCCUUUGGUAUUCCGAAGGGCACACCUGUUUGAGUGUCAUUAAUUCCUCAACCCUACAAUUUUUUUCAUUAAUUUUGCCAGUGGUUGGAUGCUGAGCGCUGCUGGACUCCUUCAGUUCAGCUCGCUUUAAAUUGAUGAGCAGGCUCCUAUCUUUUCGGACUGACUCAACGUGAUAAGAAAUUUCGUUGAGGACGCUUCGCAGCGGCCGAACUGUAGGGUAAUGCCGCUACUAGUUGACCCUUAUAUUUUAGACCUCAAAUCAGGUGGGACUACCCGCUGAACUUAAGCAUAUCAAUAAGCGGAGG
rnacentral:misc_RNA from 1 species